UGGGGAAUAUUGGACAAUGGGGGCAACCCUGAUCCAGCAAUGCCGCGUGUGUGAAGAAGGUCUUCGGAUUGUAAAGCACUUUCGACGGGGACGAUGAUGACGGUACCCGUAGAAGAAGCCCCGGCUAACUUCGUGCCAGCAGCCGCGGUAAUACGAAGGGGGCUAGCGUUGCUCGGAAUGACUGGGCGUAAAGGGCGUGUAGGCGGUUUACACAGUCAGAUGUGAAAUCCCCGGGCUUAACCUGGGAGCUGCAUUUGAUACGUGUAANCUAGAGUGUGAGAGAGGGUUGUGGAAUUCCCAGUGUAGAGGUGAAAUUCGUAGAUNUGGGAAUGGAACA
rnacentral:rRNA from 1 species